UCUCUUUCGUCUCCUGUCACCAGGUGCUCUCGACAUUUGCAGUCUACUCAGGUACUCUCCAUGGGCUCUUUCAUACUCUGUCUGACUCACGUUCGCCUGGGACACACGAAAAAGAAUAUUCAUUUACUCGGGAUAUUGUGUGGAGAAUAAAACAAAUAAUAAAAAAAAAUAUAUGAGUAAAUAGUAGGCGAGACGGGUUGCUAAUUACUAAAUAUAUGCGCCGGAAGGAUAUAUUGUCUGGCAGUGUUUAAAGAUAAGCGUGAAGUGAUCAACAUCAAGAGGAGUUUAAGUGAUGAAGAAGAUAAUUAAGUAUCGGAGUGAAAUAAUUUAAAAAUAGUAAAUUAAUUUUUUUUACAUGAAUUUAAAAAAAAAUUUGUGAUAUAUGUCCGUAAUUAUGAGGUACAAAAAUAUUAAUGAUAAUAAUACAUAAUUAAUAUAAAGCUGACGAAGUGAUUGAGAAAUUAAACGAAGAUUUAUUGCAUCAAAUAGCCAGCGGCUAAACCCUUGAUAUUUUGUGCAACAGCGGAAUCGAUGGGCGUAACUCUCUCUUUUACUUAUAACUACAAACUCAAGACAAAAAAAAAGGCAAGGAAAUGAACCUCCAUAAAAAGGUAGCGUUUAUGACGGUGGUCCUCGAGACAGUUGGAAUUGCUCAUUUAAAUCUCGUGGGGCACAAGAAGUUAAACGAGUAGAUUACACACGUAAUGGAGAAAGAGAGUUGUUACGAAGAAUGAGAAUAAAGAAAAAAAUUUUAAAAAACAUUUCUAGAGAGUGAAUUAAAAAUAUAAAAUUUGUGCGUCGCGACGCUUUUCUUCUCAUCACGUCCUUUCUCUACUAAUUUCUUCUCUCAACCACCACCUGGCAUUUGUUUAAACUCACUUAAGCCACACUUGAGUCGCCCAGAGCCUAUAUAAGACGUGCUUGAAUAAUCUCGAGGAUUUAAAUCACUGUUUUUCGGGUGAAGUUUGACGUGUCUUUGAAAUGCCGCUUCUCCGACACAUAACACACAACACAUGACAUACCAUCACAAACUUUGACGCUAUUAAUAUAAAAAAAAAAAAAAGGAAAAAAAUUAACUGACUUUAAGAGAGGGAGAGACAGAGAGAGAGAAGAAAAAAUAAUUAUCUAAAAGUGGCCUCGAUGAUUCAAAAGACUUUGUCUCAAGGAUCUUUUGCGGGAAUCCCGUGCACGAAUAGACAUCAUCAUCAUCAUCAUCAGAGUCAAGCUUGUCUAACAAUCUACUCAUAACUCGUUACUAGUCGCGACAAGCUCAAGCUGAAGCUGAAGCAUUUAGCGUGGAAUUUCCCAACGACAUUCCGCGCGCUCCGUUAUGUAGUAUAUACUUUAAGUACUCGUCAAUCCCUUGAUAUAAAUGUGCAACUGAUGUCUUUAUUUAUUUUUUUUUUUUAUCAUCAGUACAAUUACUCAUUACUAUUAUUGUUAUUAAAUUAUGUAGUUAUAAUUAUACUUAAUGAUAACAAAAAAUUAAUUUUAGGCUCGGGCCAGGAGAUUGAUUUAUUUAAACCGACCCGCGUAACACCUGUUGCCGAUGUUUAAAGUUGAAAAAAAUUCCACGUUUCUCAUAUAAAUAUUUGUAAGUGAAUUAAUAAAUUCGUACGUGCUGAUAUUUAUAAGAGUUUGAAUAUUAAUGAAAAAAUAAAAAAGCCGAGACUGAACUGGAGACGAGAUGGGAGUGAAAAAAAAGUGGAAGCCUUUGCACGGAGGAAUUGAACGGUUUUAUAAAUUCAUUGCAGACUUAAAGACUCGUGUGACAUAUGCACAAAAGAGGGUUUGGAAAAAAUAUGAGGAGAAUGUCAGAGCAGAAGCCCGGGCGUGAGAAAUACCUUUGA